rnacentral:rRNA from 1 species
GAUGAACGCUGGCGGCGUGCCUAAUACAUGCGAGUCGAGCGAACAGACGAGAGUGCUUGCACUCUCUGACGUUAGCGGCGGACGGGUGAGUAACACGUGGGUAACCUACCUAUAAGACUGGGAUAACUUCGGGAAACCGGAGCUAAUACCGGAUAAUAUUUAGCUUCGCAUGAAGCAAUAGUGAAAGACGGUUCUGCUGUCACUUAUAGAUGGACCCGCGGUGUAUUAGCUAGUUGGUGAGGUAACGGCUCACCAAGGCAACGAUACAUAGCCGACCUGAGAGGGUGAUCGGACACACUGGGACUGAGACACGGCCCAGACUCCUACGGGAGGCAGCAGUAGGGAAUCUUCCGCAAUGGACGAAAGUCUGACGGAGCAAUGCCGCGUGAGUGAAGAAGGUUUUCGGAUCGUAAAACUCUGUUGUAAGGGAAGAACAAGUACGUUAGUAACUGAACGUACCUUGACGGUACCUUACCAGAAAGCCACGGCUAACUACGUG